GAUGAACGCUGGCGGUGUGCCUAAUACAUGCAAGUCGAGCGAACGGACGAGAAGCUUGCUCUUCUGAUGUUAGCGGCGGACGGGUGAGUAACACGUGGAUAACCUACCUAUAAGACUGGGAUAACUUCGGGAAACCGGAGCUAAUACCGGAUAAUAUUUUGAACCGCAUGGUUCAAAAGAGAUAGACGGUCUUGCUGUCACUUAUAGAUGGAUCCGCGCUGCAUUAGCUAGUUGGUAAGGUAACGGCUUACCAAGGCAACGAUGCAUAGCUGACCUGAGAGGGUGAUCAGCCACACUGGAACUGAGACACGGUCCAGACUCCUACGGGAGGCAGCAGUAGGGAAUCUUCCGCAAUGGGCGAAAGCCUGACGGAGCAACGCCGCGUGAGUGAUGAAGGUCUUCGGAUCGUAAAACUCUGUUAUUAGGGAAGAACAUAUGUGUAAGUAACUGUGCACAUCUUGACGGUACCUAAUCAGAAAGCCACGGCUAACUACGUG
rnacentral:rRNA from 1 species